UCGAGGGCGGUGCGGUGGGGGGCGCGGUGGGGGGCGCCGGGCUGCUCAACCCGACCCCACCCGCAGCACAGACUGGAGCAGGAGCUGCGGCGGGAAAUCCCAGCGGCGGGGGUCGGGGGCGCUGAGGUCCUCAAGAUUUCCUGUGUAUCAGAGCCUGUCUUCCCUCUCCUCCAAGAAGCCUUCCUUACCAGGCAAGUCUCAGACCCUCCUUGGGCUCUUCUUUGCCCCUACCGCCCAGGCCUGGGAGGGUCAGCUAGUUUUGGGGUGCCUGUCGGGAUGUCCUCCAAUGUGACCCCCCCGCCCCCGGAGAAAGACCAGGAAGGGGAUGGUGGUGCUUACAGGACAGAGGCAACUUAAAAUAUCAGACUGCCUGGCUCCAGUCCCUGCUGUGCCACAGCUCUGUGAGCUUGGGUAAGUGGCUCAGCCUCUCUGAGCUUCAGCUUCUUCAUCUGCACAAGGGAACAAUAGUACCGGCCCCCAGGUCUCUUCACAGCAGCAUUAAAUAAAAAU
rnacentral:lncRNA from 10 species